rnacentral:rRNA from 1 species
AUUGAACGCUGGCGGCAGGCUUAACACAUGCAAGUCGAACGAUGAUUAUCUAGCUUGCUAGAUAUGAUUAGUGGCGGACGGGCGAGUAACAUUUAGGAAUCUGCCUAGUAGUGGGGGAUAGCUCGGGGAAACUCGAAUUAAUACCGCAUACGACCUACGGGUGAAAGGGGGCGCAAGCUCUUGCUAUUAGAUGAGCCUAAAUCAGAUUAGCUAGUUGGUGGGGUAAAGGCCCACCAAGGCGACGAUCUGUAACUGGUCUGAGAGGAUGAUCAGUCACACCGGAACUGAGACACGGUCCGGACUCCUACGGGAGGCAGCAGUGGGGAAUAUUGGACAAUGGGGGCAACCCUGAUCCAGCCAUGCCGCGUGUGUGAAGAAGGCCUUUUGGUUGUAAAGCACUUUAAGCAGGGAGGAGAGGCUAAUGGUUAAUACCCAUUAGAUUAGACGUUACCUGCAGAAUAAGCACCGGCUAACUCUGUGCCAGCAGCCGCGGUAAUACAGAGGGUGCGAGCGUUAAUCGGAAUUACUGGGCGUAAAGCGAGUGUAGGUGGCUCAUUAAGUCACAUGUGAAAUCCCCGGGCUUAACCUGGGAACUGCAUGUGAUACUGGUGGUGCUAGAAUAUGUGAGAGGGAAGUAGAAUUCCAGGUGUAGCGGUGAAAUGCGUAGAGAUCUGGAGGAAUACCGAUGGCGAAGGCAGCUUCCUGGCAUAAUAUUGACACUGAGAUUCGAAAGCGUGGGUAGCAAACAGGAUUAGAUACCCUGGUAGUCCACGCCGUAAACGAUGUCUACUAGCCGUUGGGGUCCUUGAGACUUUAGUGGCGCAGUUAACGCGAUAAGUAGACCGCCUGGGGAGUACGGCCGCAAGGUUAAAACUCAAAUGAAUUGACGGGGGCCCGCACAAGCGGUGGAGCAUGUGGUUUAAUUCGAUGCAACGCGAAGAACCUUACCUGGUCUUGACAUAGUGAGAAUCCUGCAGAGAUGCGGGAGUGCCUUCGGGAAUUCACAUACAGGUGCUGCAUGGCUGUCGUCAGCUCGUGUCGUGAGAUGUUGGGUUAAGUCCCGCAACGAGCGCAACCCUUUUCCUUAUUUGCCAGCGGGUUAAGCCGGGAACUUUAAGGAUACUGCCAGUGACAAACUGGAGGAAGGCGGGGACGACGUCAAGUCAUCAUGGCCCUUACGACCAGGGCUACACACGUGCUACAAUGGUAGGUACAGAGGGUUGCUACACAGCGAUGUGAUGCUAAUCUCAAAAAGCCUAUCGUAGUCCGGAUUGGAGUCUGCAACUCGACUCCAUGAAGUCGGAAUCGCUAGUAAUCGCAGAUCAGAAUGCUGCGGUGAAUACGUUCCCGGGCCU